UGGCGUUGCGUCGCCAUGACAACCGCAGGCCCCGUGGUCGCUGGCAGUGGGGAGCAAAUAUUAUAAGUGGGGAGCAAAGAUACUGGAGCAAGCCUUCUAUGAUCUUAGGUGGGGAGAGCUUUCGACAUCAUCAUGGGAGAAAUAGACCGGGUAGACACACAGAGUUUCUUGCCCAGAGGAGUAGGGAAAUCGAGAACCAGAGGACACAGGUUUAAGAAAAAACCUGUCUUUGUGGUAGAGAAUCUUCAAGUUCCUGGGCAUGCAUAUAUUUGAAGAUCGGUCCUGGAACUCACACAUUGAUGCAAUCAACAAAGAAAGCCCAUCAAUGCCUCUACUUCCUAAGAAGAUUAUCAACGAAUAUGCUCUUGAACAUCUACAUUGUACAGCAGAGAGCAUAUUGACUGGUUGCUUGAUGUCUGGUUCAGCAAUUGGAACAUAUAGGAAUGAAGGAGAUUAUAAAGAGUGGUGAACACUGCCUGGUCCAUCACAUUUGCUCGGU